rnacentral:rRNA from 1 species
AAUAGAUACCCCGGUAGUCCACGCCGUAAACGAUGGAUGCUAGCUAUUGGGGGGAAUCGACCCCCUCCGAAGCGAAGCUAACGCAUUAAGCAUCCCGCCUGAGUAGUACGAGCGCAAGCUUAAAACUCAAAGGAAUUGACGGGGGACCCGCACAAGCGGUGGAGCGUGUGGUUUAAUUCGAUGGUAAACGAAGAACCUUACCAAGGUUUGACAUCCCGGUAGCCGUUCUCCGAAAGGAGAAUUUCAUUUAGUUGGACCGGUGACAGGUGAUGCAUGGCCGUCGUCAGCUCGUGUCGUGAGAUGUUGGGUUAAGUCCCGCAACGAGCGCAACCCUUAUGAUUUAGUUGGAUUUUUCUAAACAGACUGCCCUGGUAACAGGGAGGAAGGAGGGGAUGAUGUCAGGUCAGUAUUUCCCUUACACCUUGGGCGACACACGCGCUACAAUGGCCGGUACAAUGGGCAGCUAAGCCGCGAGGUGGAGCAAAUCCCAUCAAAGCCGGUCCCAGUUCGGAUUGCAGGCUGAAACCCGCCUGCAUGAAGCCGGAAUCGCUAGUAACC